AGCUCUCUCCAGCAAGGAGAUAAGAGAGGCCUAGGAGGAAACCUGCCCAGCCUUAGGCCUCAGGGAGCAGAAUUGGGGGCACCUCCAUCAUGGCCAGGAUCCCUCUCCUCCUCGGCCUCCUCAUUCACUGCACAGGCUCUGUGGGCUCUUAUGAGCUGACUCAGCUGUCCUCCAUGUCAGUGGCCAUGGGACAGACACCCUGUAUCACCUAUGGGGGAAACAACAUUGGAAGGAAAAGUGCUUACUGGUACCAGCAGAAGCCAGAGUUGGUCAUCUAUAGUGAUAGCAGCCGACCCUCUGGGAUCCCUGACCGAUUUUACGGCUCCAACUCAGGGAACACAGCCACCCUGACCAUCAGCAGGGCCCAGGCCAAGGACAAAGCUGACUAUUACUGUACUGUAUGUGAUGGCAGCAGGAGCAUCAGUCAGUGA